UACGUAGGUGGCAAGCGUUGUCCGGAAUUAUUGGGCGUAAAGCGCGCGCAGGUGGUUUCUUAAGUCUGAUGUGAAAGCCCACGGCUCAACCGUGGAGGGUCAUUGGAAACUGGGGAACUUGAGUGCAGGAGAGAAGAGUGGAAUUCCACGUGUAGCGGUGAAAUGCGUAGAGAUGUGGAGGAACACCAGUGGCGAAGGCGACUCUUUGGCCUGUAACUGACGCUGAGACACGAAAGCGUGGGUAGCAAACAGG
rnacentral:rRNA from 1 species